CUGCAAAGGCGCGCGUCACCUCUGAUGUCAGGCCUUCAAGGGGCUUCGUUCCAGCUGCGGGCUCCAGGAAAGGGCGUCGCGGGGCGCAGAGGUUACACAACUUCCCCAAGGUCGCGGUGGAAGUCACCGGCGGGGCGGGGAUUUGAACCCGGGUGGCUGGGCGCCUGCCACGCGGGCCCCGCGCCGGCCGGCCGGCACAGGGUGCAGGUGGCGGCGCUCCACGUGCCGCCCUGGCGAACCCACAGCUGGAGCCCGAACGGCCUUGGCCUAGCUUCCUCCUUUCUUGUCUCUAAAAUGGUCUUUCACGAUGACAGGAUGGCGGUGACAAGGUGGAAUGUCACCCGCUGAUGGAUUCAAUAGAUUGAGUAUGGCGCCACUUAGAAGAGAAGGUUGGAUUUUUAAAAUAUGUUCUUUAUUUUGAUUCAUUUCUUUUAAUUCAGGACUUUCAUUCAAACGGGACAAUUGUAAGAUGAGACACAGAUUGUCAAAAAACCUCCCCACUCAUACACUGCUGAUUCAAAAAUGCCUGAAUAACAACUUUUCGGGAAAGAACGAUUGAUUCUGUUUAUAGACCUGUCGCAUGACGAUCCUGACCCAGCCAGCCCGUGUCUCUGGGACCUCAGUUUCCUCAUCCAAUUACAAACAAAAGGGAAGUGAGGAGUCUAUUAAUAGAGUUUGCGUAUUAUGUGUCAGACGCUCUGCCAAGCCCUUUGCAAACAGCAUGACCUCUAACUCCUCACACCAAUUCUACCAGGGAGGUGUUAUUAUCAUCCUCUGGUAUCUACAGAUGAGGAAAACAGGCUUUGCAGGAUUUGAACCCAGCUGUCUGGCACCCACUCCAAUGCUUUUAGCCACCGUGGUUCAUGGCCCCACCUCAGAGCAGGAUCUCUGGUACACGGCCUGGAAGAGAGCCCUGAGGCCCACCAAUAGUGACUUCUCACGAGCUGCUCACCAGCGCUCCUUGGGGGCCCUCGAGCACCCCCAAGUCCCACUCGUGGAUUGGAAGCAGCAGAGAGCUGGAGGGUUAAGAGGACAUGAGAAUGGCAUGACAGAUCCUCAGCCACAAGGAUCAGCACAUGUGAGAAGGAUGAUCCCAGAAAAACGGGCCCUCCCCUCAGCCCACGCCUUGAUUCUUCUCCAGAAUGCGGAGGAUGCAGAACUUCAAGAGGGCUGUGGCGAAGGUGUUGGCCAGCUCAGUGGACCCGGCACUUUGGCGUCAGAACUUCAGGUAGGCUGUGGAACGUAAAGAAAGUGGUGUUUCUUACACACCUGAGUUGGAGUCUGGGAGCCAGCCCCCCAACGCCCCGGCGCCAAGGAGUUAGACGCAUGGGCUCAUUCUGGGUUCCCAACUAAGAGGCCCUUUCCCAGAUCCCGCAGGGGACGUGCUUAACUUCACACCUGUAAUUCUUCAGAGAGCCCCUCAAAUUGCAUACGCUUCAGGCCCCCCAAAACCUUCUCCUGUUAUUAGCCCUAUUUUAUAGAUGAAGAAAAAUAUGGCAUAGAGAGGUCAGGGAGGUUACUCGAGGAGGCAGGGCUGGGAGGUGCUGAAGUCAGGAUUCAAACUCUUAACACACUCAGAUGAACCCUGAGUGACUGAGGGAUUUUCCCAGGGGAUUCGUGUCUUGAAAUGCAACUGUAGCCUCUGCUUCUAUUUUUACAUUUUAACCCAUGACUAAAUCCUUAUUUAUUAAUUUUUUAAAGGAAAUUGUUUGAGACACUAAGUAUUUAUCAAAUGACGAUUCAUAGUUACUCAGUCUUUUUUUUUUUUUUUUUUUUGCUGAGAAAAAGAUUCGACCUGAGCUAACAUCUGUGCCAAUCUUCCUUUAUUUUGUAUGUGGGUUGCUGCCACAGCAUGACUGCUGACGAGUGGCGGAAGUCCACGCCUGGAAACUGGACCUGGGCUGCCAAAUUGGAGCACGCCAAACUUAACCACUAGGCCACAGGGCCAGCCCCUACUCAGUCUUUUUAUCCCUUGGCUGAACACUGCCAGCCCCUGGCUUAGCUUUGCUAUGAAACACUUUUAAAUUAUUUUUUAUUAGAAUAACAAAUUUAGAGUCUAUACCUAUAAUGGAUCACUGUUUAAAAACAAAAAUUCUUAAAAAAAAAAUUAAUGCUGAAAUACAAAUUAAUAGGGAAAAAAUUUUCGCAAGAAUAUUUCUGCAAAUUCCUCCUAUCUGAACACUCCUUACAUCUGAUCACAGUUCUCACACGUGAUUUGAUAAAUGCCGUUGGGACCAAGUGUCCCCCAAAAUCAGUAAGUUGGGUUCCUACCUUACGCCUACGCCAAAAUUAAUUCCAAUAGAUUAAAAAACUACACAUAAAAAGAGAAACCAUAAAUGAGUUAGAAAAAAAAUGGGAGAAUUUGUGCCAUAAGCUUAGAGUGGAGAGGGCUUUCUUACGUCUCACAGAAAACCUCCAAACCAGGAAGGAAAGCGUCUGUUUGUCCAAAUCAAAUUGAAAAUUCUUUCCUGGGUAAGGAAAACAGAAACUCAUGGACGAAGUCAAAUAACAAUUGACUAAUAGGAAAAGAAAAUAUUUGAAACAGAUCACAAAGAGCUCAUUUCCCUUAUCUUUAAAGAGCUCCGAUGAAUCAAUAAAGAUAAAAGACAAAUAAUUCAAUAGAAAAAUAGGCAAAGGAUGUAAACAGCUGGUCACGAAAACAAGGCAAAUCGGUCUUAAAUAUUUGAAAAAACAACCCUCCGCCUCACGUCUGAGGGAGAUAGAAGCUGGACUACGAUGAGACUAGACGGGCGAAGAUCACAAUGUCUGAUGACCCACGGUGCUGGCGAGGUUGCGGUGUCACAGGCCGUUUUCAUCACCGCUGAUGGGAAGGUAGGGUACCAUUUCUGUGAAGAGCACUUUAGCAAUAUCUUCCUAAAGGUAAAUGCUCAUCUACCCUUUGUUGUGGGUUGAGUUAUGUCCCCUAAGAUUCCUAUGCUGACGUGUGAACCCCCAGGACCUUGGAAUGUGACCUUGAUUGGAGAUGUAGUCAGUUAAGAUGAAGUCACACUGGCAUAGGGUGGGCCCCGUAUCCACUAUGACUGUUAUCCUUAUCAAAAGGGGAAAUUGGGACGCAGACACACACAGGGGGAAGGCCACGUGUACACCAAGGCAGAGAUGGGCUGAUGCGUCUACCAGCCAAGGAACCCCCCAAAGGGGCCGGCGACCCACCAGAAGCGCGGGGAGAGGCCUGGAACAGAUUCUCCCUCACAGCGCUCAGAAGGAGCCCACGCGGCCCCACAUCUCGAUCUCGGACUUCCAGCCUCAGAACUGCAUCCAUUUCUGUUGGAACUGAAAUAAUUCCCUGUGAAAUAAUACAUUUCUGUUGCUUCCCCACCCGCCGUGUGGUACUUGGUGAUGGCAGCCCGAGUGACUUAGCCGCUGCGACGCAGUGAGGUGGAUUUAUCGUACUGCGUCUGUGCACAGCUGCAAAGUGGGGCAGAGACCGGGGUCUUCAUGGCAGGAUUGUUUGUCAUUGCUAAAGACUGGAGCAACCCAAAUCUCCGUCAGUCAGCAGCUGCCUCAAUACGCGAUGGGACAUCCUGACGGGGGGAUAUUUUCAGCGAGGAGGCAGCGUAGCAUGUGCAGAUGGGAAUUAUCUCAAAGGUUGAUUAUGAAGUGAGAAAAGCAAAAUGCAGUGGUGAGAGAGAGGGCCUCAUCUGUAGGAAAAUACAGAGAAACAAAGCAGAAAAUAAAUGUGCAAAUAUUUGCUUGUA